GGCCAGUUAGCUCAGUUGGUUAGAGGAUGGUGCUCAUAACACCAAGAGCCAGGGUUCGAUCCCCGUACUGGCCA